AAUUAUGGUGAGCUGGAUAGGAGCACUUUGGUGCGCCGCUUCCUUAGUCGCGGUAAUGCGAAUCCUGUUCAGUUCACCACCCAA
rnacentral:antisense_RNA from 1 species